CUUGUCUUGGAGCUGUAGUAACAUUAAGUAGAGAGCUGCAGUUCAAUUUCAUUUGGGAUGUUUCAUGGGAAGGCAAUGGAUAAAUGAUGAAUAGAUCAGGAGAGCAAUGCAAACUGACCUAGGCUGGAGGAAAGAGGAACUGGAAGAAAGAUGUUUCCUAUUUUCUUGGAAGAAAACCUGAGAAGACCACAUGCAUGUCCAUGUAGAGCACUGUGGACAUCAUUGAUCACCCUGUAGAUGGGUCAAGGCCUCCUCACCAUGUGAAGUCCAUGCGUUGCUUUACUUUCCAAAUCUGGAUCCAGAGAAGCCAAACCAAACCAUUCACUGCACACCUUGCCUUGCUGUAAUUUACAUUUGGCAUCAGGAUGCAGAUGUACCAACUCUUCCCAACUUUUGAAAUGAAUGAUGAUGAUGGACUUCAUACAAAAAAGCAUCUAUCUUUUAAACUCCCACACCUCCCCCGAGCCUACAGAACUGUUAAAAGUAAAUGUAAGGCCUUUAUCUUACCAUCAAUUCACGAAGACUGGCAGCGGUGUUUACGUGGAGUCCACAAUGUGCCACCAGGCUUCCAGGGAUUUGGACACACCCUUCACCUGGAGACAUCUGCUUGGAGCAGGUAGUGGAGACAGAACUGGGCUUUCUGCUGUUUGCUGCUGCUCUACUGUCCAGACUGCCUCAGAGCAUCAGAAUGUGAUGCUUCCCCACGGUGAGAGGAGUCAAUUUCCUGCAUACAUUUGUGCAGACCAUUUCCAGCAAAUGUUGUUUAAGAUAUCCCUUUUUAUUCUGCAUUACAAGAUGCUGGAAUCACGGCAGCUUUCAAUUUCUGCAGUUCAGCUAAGAGUAGAAAUAAAUCCGCAGCUCGUCUGGCAUUUGUUGCUUCAUGUGAUACUACAAACUACUGAGAAAAAUCAGCAUUUCAUCUCCAAGUAUUUCCUUAACCAAUAUACAUGUCUGUUAAAAAUAUCUCCUAAGAGAAAAAUACACCAGUGUAUCUACACUUUGCUUCUCUGAAGAAAGCUCUGCAUAUUUAGGGAGCAUAGCUUUGCUAUCAGAGACACUGUCAAGUUAACUACAGAUACAUAAUUCUGAAAUGUUCUGCUCGUUUAAAAAUGUCUGAAUGUUCAUAUAUCAUUAGUAAGAAUACUGCAGUUAAUUAGUUACAUAGUUAGUUCAAAAAUGUUGUUGAAGCUUCAGUGCCAGCUAAAAGAAUGUUUUCAGGCUCUUUUCUCAGCUUUGUGAGUUUCUGUGCAACUCUAAGCCUCAGUAAGUUUUUGGGUAUGCAGUGUUAAUCUGAAGUAAUGUGAGUUAUGCCGACUCCCUCUUGAGCUACUGACCCAAGGCUGGAAGGCACCUCCGGAGUUAUUCAUUCCAACCUCCUGCCCGAGGUGGGUUCAAUGCCAAGUGCAGGUCAGGUUGCUCAGGGCUUUGGGCUGAGUAUGCAGAGUCCACAGACUUUCUGGUUCCUUGCUUCAGUGCUUAAUCCUAAUGAAGAGCUUUUUUUUUCCUCAUGUCCUUGUGAUUAUUGUCCCUCACCCUUUAAUUGUGCUUCUACAGGAGAAGCAUGGCUGCCUUUUCUGUAAUCUCCUUUCAGGUAGCGAAAGAGAACAACCCAAUUCCUCACCAGCUUUCUCAACUCCAGUCUGAGCAUCCCUAGUGCUUUCAGCCUCUCUGUGUUCAGGAUGUGCUCCAAUCCAUGCUGAUGGACUUUGGCUGGGCUCUCCCCCAGGAUGUCAGCAAACCAAGUUAUAUCUUGUUGGUCCCAUCAGGGAAGGGGAAAAGCUAUAUUCCAAAUUACCUCUGCACUAUGCACUUGAAUUAAGGAACAUAAAGGAGUGUACUGCACUGUGCAAGCAGCAGUGGACUGGCAUGAAGAUAGAUGGUGUCUGAGAUGAGAUGGGGUGAAGAGAAGAAGCAAGAGGGUUUUCUCCAUUGCAGUGAGUCAUGUAAAGCAAGAAAGCACAAGCAUUAAUCUCCAGCAGAUACCACCCGCAAGGUAAAAAGAUGUCAUCAGAGCUAAGAAUGCUUUAAAACUACAAUGGAGGAAAAAUGGGUAGAAAAUACUUCUGAAAAGACGUCUCCCACUGAUAAAAAGCAGUGCGCACAAGAUCUACGGGCAGUUAUCCUAGCUGAAAAUCAGAGCCAAGCUGCGGAAUGAAGACAGGAAAGCCCACUUCACAGAGGACAGGGAUGAAACCUCAUAAGUCAUCUGUCAGGGGGAGCUGAGCCCCAGCACGAUGUGAUGUGGAGGUGUGGUACGUGACAUCUGGGCACUCCCACUGCGCUGCUGGCUGCAGCCAUCUGGCGUUUGACUGUUUUCAAGUCAUUGUUAUGAAGAACGUUUGCAGAAAAAACCUUGGCACUUGAUCUGAUUUCUCACAUUUCCCCCUCUGAACUCCACGCCCCUGAUGAAGAACCAGACAGGAACGGGACCGGCUGCUCUGUAUGGAGGAGGGCUACAGAGCAGUCUGUGAGAUGGUUCGCAUCACCACUUGCUGUACUGAAGGCAGCAGACAUAGAUGUUAAGCUCAGUGAAAAGAAACUGCAAUGCAGUGCAUCAGCAUCGGGAACAAUAAACAUAAAUCUGACACCUAAUAGUUCUUUCAGAGAAUUGAUUUAAAGUCUGGAUUAUUUCCCAUCCCGGGCAUGCAUCAUAUCCCCCAGCAGCAAACUGAAGGAUGUACCGUGACCCUAGUUACUACAGAAAUGUUCAUGGAUCAGAGACCCUGCAGUCAACCUUCUUGUUCUGACCAAUCAUUAACCAGGAGGAACAUUGUGGAGCUGCCGCUGCUUUUUCCUGAGUUACUUUAACAGACUGACCACAGGCAUGUUCCUUCGUCCUUAGAAGAGUUCCAGAAGAUUAGUCAGCUAAACCUGACAAGGCUUCUGGGAAGCUGGAAAGGACUUGGCUCAGCAUAUUAGGAACUAAGUGGUUUUAAGUUUAGAAAAACACUGGAUCUGAAAAUGCAUGGACUGAAUCUGCACCCAAUUAUGACUAAUGUGUUAUAAGUACUCUGAUGGAGGCAGACACUGAAAAACUGCUGCAGUCAAACCUUGAUGAUGACAACCCUGUGGAUUUGUUCACUCCAUCCUAAAGAGGACUUCCCGUCAUAGUACUUUGUGCAUGGAUUUAGGAAAAUUUGAAUGAUUCAAGUAGAGAUCCAUGCGUCUCUCUGGCAUGUACUCCCCGAGGGAGCUGCAAUCAAAACUCCAGGGAUGGAAAGCCAGAGACAGAACCACAUGGAUGAAGCUCUGCAUUGCUCGAGAAUACCUCCUUCAGACACAUCAUCUUCUUCCCCUGCACUUGUCUUUCACGUACUUGAUUCUGGCAGUGGCAUUAUGAAGAACUACAGGACUGAAGCAGUAAUGACACUGGUAAUUGAUAUUCAGUCAGCAUAGCAUCUCCGCCCAGGAAACCCAGUCCUAAACUUUUCCUCCUGCACAGAAUUAUUCAGACUGUGGUUAGACUGAACCAAUCAUAGUGAGAUGAUGAACAGGCCCUUUCUGGCCUCCAGAUGUUUGACACAAUGCUCCAACACGUCAAAGUAUGUUGGUUAUUUUGAGGUGUGAAGGUGAGAAGCUUUGAGGGCACAGAUGGACGAGACCAUUUUGGAGGACCUACUUUGAUUGUUUGUGAAUGGGGUAGCACUGCCUACACUGGCUAUGUGAAAGCAAGACUUAGUACUUGCUGCUUCACACCUCAGCUUCACUACAGUUGCAGGAGGGGAGCAGGAGAGUCCAAGAAGCGUCACCUGAGCUCUCUUCCGUUUGGCCUUGCUGUUCUCUUGAUGUCUGUGUGCGAGUUUCCCUCCAGGCACCCUAGAGAAAUUGGGCUGGCAGGGUCAGAAUAGUAACUUCAGUUUCUUUCAUCCUAUUUGGCCUUGGUGGAAAAGAAAGUUCAAGUUAGAUGUUUUGAGUUUAUUCUUGCUAUCUAUUCCAAACUAUUGUUGCUGGAAAUCCUUUCGUUCUCUUCAUCAUACAUUGUACCUCUUUUGGGGGGGAAAAGGAUUUGCUAGAUUAUUUGUAGAAACAGGUUUAAGACCUUCUGGGUCAAGAGAUUUUGCAUAUUUCAUAUCUUUUUACCUUCCCCCCACCCCCAUUAGUUUAAGGGAAUGUACAAAAGAAUUUUUUUUUUUAAAAAAAGAAAGUUUAGAUACAGUUAACUAAGAAAUUCAAGUGACCCUGGGCUGGAAUUUCAAAGCCUGGAUUCAACUCAGAUAAGCUUUUAAAGAUCAGUUCCUAACGCCCUAAACAUUUGUGUAUGAUUUUAGCUUUUUCCAGUCCUUCUAAGCAUGCAAGCAUUCCUUUUCUUUAUGCUCAGGGCCUGUUGUCUCCUUGGUACGUCUUCUCAUUUCAAAUUCUAAAAUGAAUUAUUUUUUUUCUUGUGCUAACAAAGAGAACGAAGGGCUCUACACUGUUUUCUUUAACAUUUUAAAAUCUCAAGCAAGCCCCAAAACUGCAAGAAGCCACUUGGAAUUUUAUUAAACAAAUGCUGCAGCAGGAUUAAGUCCCUCUCCCUCAAGAAAAGGGAACUGAAAAGGGCUUUUCAAGUAACCAUUGAACUUCCCUAUGUAGAGAUCAAACACCGACUCUUCUCACCAAGACUAUUUGAAUUAGUCAAAGAGUUGAUCCAGAAGAGUUGACCCAAAGAACCUGAACGUCUUUGCAUUUGGAGAUCAGAUGUGCGGCCUUAGUUUUGACUCAUGUCUAACCAAUGAUAUUAUGAGUGCUCUAGCACUGCCUAUUCAAGUUAGAUACCUCUCUUGCCACAGACUUCAGUUCCACCUCUUACCAGCUAGCCAUUCUCUGUACAUAUGUAUUUUCCUUGCAUCCAAUCACAGUGUUUCCCUGUAGUCUAACAAGGCCACACUCCUUACUGUGCUAAUCACAAACAAGCCAUGUGAAUGACAUCCUUGUUACAUUCCAGUUUCAAACCUCCAAGCAACUGGUUCCAAUAUAUCCUAUGUUUUGUCUUUGCAACAGUUGCUAAUGGAAACUGCUACAGUACAGGUUUAUAAGAUCUUGCAUUAUGCCCUCUUGUAUUUUUUUUUUCCAUGAACAUUUAACUUUCCCAAACUUUGCAUUAUAAAGAAAGUUUCCCAGGACUGCCUACAUUCAGAAGUAAAAUUAUUUGGAAACAUUUUUGGAAAAUUAUUUGGAAAGUUCGAAUAAGCUCUCAUAAGCAGCUUUUAAGUGAUUUGAGAGAGAAUGAGGAGCAAAGGAAACUUGGUAAGGUCAGAAGACACGAUCCCACUCCCACAGAUGUCAACAGCAUCAUUUCUGAAGUCCUCCCAGAGGAUCUAGAACCAGGGACAGGGGCUGCUGCUCUGCAUUCCUUCUAUAAACUGAGUUGCCAAUGAGUCUCGGUAGAUUUACCAAGGCCACAUUCCAAACCCAGCAAGACAACAGGCCCCUGGGUUCUGGGUGAACCACAUAACUAACCAGAGGACCUGUUAGUUUAGUUUUCUUAGUUGGUUCUCAGCAAAACACUGCUCGAAAAAAAACAUGCAUGGUGAACACGGACAAGAGAAAGCUGAACACCCACCCUUGUUUUGUGGCUGUCCCAAGCUUUGCUCUUUUCCGAUUACGCUUUCAUAAAAGCAAGCAAACCAUAAUACCUGAAAAUCCCAUGUUUCUUAUACAGAGAGCAGCACUCUUUGUCUUGGUGCUGGAAACAGACUGCUAGUUAUCAAGGAAAUAAGCUCCCUUCUGUCUAUAUCUGUGUUGUGAUGAGUCUGUUGCAAAGCUAGCUUUAUGGUCUGUGCAAGCUAUGUCAGGGGUUGCUACUGUACUCCAGCAAUGGUCAAGAGCUGAAAGACUUCACAAACUUAAGAUGUCACUCUAGGUAAUGCAGAUGUAUCCUUCUCUAUUAUUAUCUUUUUUAAGCAUUCCCUGCAGAACAAAGAGCUGCUUCUGCCACGCUGUGCGUUGUGUUCCAUGACAGGCUUAUCCAGCAGAACCAGGGAAUAACCUAACCGGACCGAGACUGCAAAGGAGCUGGGACAGGCCAUCCCUCCUGAGUGCAGGAUGAAGGAUGUAUUUAUUCAGCUACUUUAUCUAAGAUGUGGUCCAGUGUGCAGAUGACAUGAAGAUAGAAAGCAACAUCUCUCUGUUGGAUGUGCUCAAAGCACA
ensembl:lncRNA